rnacentral:rRNA from 1 species
AUACCUUUCAACGAUGGAUCUCUUGGUUCCCGCAACGAUGAAGAACGCCGCGAAACGCGAUAUGUAAUGUGAAUUGCAGGAUUAAGUGAAUCAUCAAAUCUUUGAACGCAAAUUGCGCUUGGACCCUCGGGUUUGAGCAUACCUGGAUCAGACUCUUUUU